rnacentral:rRNA from 1 species
AGGUGCGAUCAUAUUAACACUAACGCAUCUGAUACCAGUAAAACUCCAAAGUUAAGCGUGCUUGGGCGAGAGUAACACUAGAAUAAGUGAUCCCCUAGGAAGUCCUCGAAAGACCUGUC